AAUGCCGCGUGUGUGAAGAAGGCCUGCGGGUUGUAAAGCACUUUCAGUAGGGAAGAAAAGCCUAGGGUUAAUACCCCUGAGUCUUGACGUUACCUACAGAAGAAGCACCGGCUAACUCCGUGCCAGCCCCCUCGGUGACUGAGCGGGCUGGCAAGGCGCAUA
rnacentral:rRNA from 1 species